UGGGAAUUCUAGUGGCGAACGGGUGAGUAACGCGUUGGUGACCUGCCCCAAAGUGUGGGAUAACAGUCCGAAAGGAUUGCUAAUACCGCAUGUGGUCAUUGGAUUUAGAAACCGAUGACUAAAGGAGUAAUCCGCUUUGGGAGGGACCUGCGUCCCAUCAGCUAGUUGGUGAGGUAAUGGCUCACCAAGGCUACGACGGGUAGGGGACCUGAGAGGGUGGCCCCCCACAAUGGAACUGAAACACGGUCCAU
rnacentral:rRNA from 1 species